CGCGUAGGCGGUCGUGCACGUCGGGGGUGAAAUCCCCGGGCUUAACCCGGGAACUGCCUUCGAUACGGCGCGGCUAGAGUGCGGGAGGGGAGAGUGGAACUCCUGGUGGAGUGGUGAAAUGCGUAGAUAUCAGGAGGAACGCCGGUGGCGAAAGCGACUCUCUGGUCCGCAACUGACGCUGAGGCGCGAAAGCCAGGGGAGGCAAACG
rnacentral:rRNA from 1 species